ACUGGACAUAACCUCUGCAUACAGCAGAAGAACUGGCCAACGAAGAAUAUUAUUCUUAUCUAAUACAGGCUUUCUUAAUCCUGUAAGUCCUUGAUACAUUGCCUUCCCAAUUUUCAGCCCUCUACUUUCGAUCGCGGAAACAAGGUCAUGCAUAGUUUCAACAAAGAAAUAAACAUUAGCCUGAGAACAAUCACAAACAGUUCAUUCAUAAUUGUAUCAUUCCAUUAGUAAUAUAAUCAAACCUUAGCCUCUGUUGGAAACUUGAGCCUCACGCUGUUCAUGUUCCAUCUUCUUUGACUCAAUUUGCCUUAACAGCUUCUUUAGCUCUUCGUUACUUGGGUCAUGCUUAAGCCCAUUUUGGCAAUGCAAAGUUGAUUCAAGCAACAAGUU
rnacentral:lncRNA from 1 species